rnacentral:rRNA from 1 species
UACAGAGGUCCCGAGCGUUGUUCGGAUUCAUUGGGCGUAAAGGGUGCGUAGGUGGCGCUGUAAGUGGGGUGUGAAAUCCCGGGGCUUAACUCCGGAACUGCAUUCCAUACUGCGGUGCUUGAGGACUGGAGAGGAGACUGGAAUUUACGGUGUAGCAGUGAAAUGCGUAGAGAUCGUAAGGAACACCAAUGGCGAAGGCAGAUCUCUGGGCCGUAACUGACGCUGAGGAGCGAAAGCAUGGGGAGCGAACAGG